AUUGAACGCUGGCGGCAGGCCUAACACAUGCAAGUCGAGCGGAUGAAGGGAGCUUGCUCCUGGAUUCAGCGGCGGACGGGUGAGUAAUGCCUAGGAAUCUGCCUGGUAGUGGGGGAUAACGUCCGGAAACGGGCGCUAAUACCGCAUACGUCCUGAGGGAGAAAGUGGGGGAUCUUCGGACCUCACGCUAUCAGAUGAGCCUAGGUCGGAUUAGCUAGUUGGGGGGGUAAAGGCCUACCAAGGCGACGAUCAGUAACUGGUAUGAGAGGAUGAUCAGUCACACUGGCACUGAGACAGGGUCCAGACUCCUACGGGAGGCAGCAGUGGGGAAUAUUAGACAAUGGGCGAAAGCCUGAUCCAGCCAUGCCGCGUGUGUGAAGAAGGUCUUCGGAUUGUAAAGCAAUUUAAGUUGGGAGGAAGGGCAGUAAGUUAAUACCUUGCUGUUUUGACGUUACCAACAGAAUAAGCACCGGCUAACUUCGUG
rnacentral:rRNA from 1 species